CAGCAGCCACGGUAAUACGUAGGUGGCAAGCGUUGUCCGGAAUUAUUGGGCGUAAAGCGCGCGCAGGCGGAUAGGUCAGUCUGUCUUAAAAGUUCGGGGCUUAACCCCGUGAUGGGAUGGAAACUGCCAAUCUAGAGUAUCGGGGAGGAAAGUGGAAUUCCUAGUGUAGCGGUGAAAUGCGUAGAUAUUGGGAAGAACACCAGUGGCGAAGGCGACUUUCUGGACGAAAACUGACGCUGAGGCGCGAAAGCCAGGGUAGCGAACGGGAUUAGAUACCCCCGUAGUCCCUGUCUCUUAUACA
rnacentral:rRNA from 1 species